UACGGAGGGUGCAAGCGUUGUCCGGAGUGAUUGGGUGUAAAGGGUGCGCAGGCUGGCGACGAAGUCGGAGGUGAAAUCUUGCCGCUUAACGGUAAAAUUGCAUCCGAUACUGGGUGUCUUGAAUCUGACAGAGGUCGGUGGAAUUCGUGGUGUAGCGGUGAAAUGCAUAGAUAUCACGAAGAACACCAGUGGCGAAGGCGGCCGGCUGGGUCAGUAUUGACGCUGAGGCCCGAGAGCGUGGGGAGCGAACAGG
rnacentral:misc_RNA from 1 species